rnacentral:sRNA from 2 species
GAGCGGACGCCGCCGAGUCGCCCUCAGGGGCGAGCCGGGGACCCACCGCAGAACUGGGGUGAAUCCCGCUCCUGGACGCACGUCCAGGGGCAGGUAGGGCCGCUUCCCGCCCGAACCCGUCAGCUAACCCGGUAGGCGGCCGUCGGAAGAACG